rnacentral:rRNA from 1 species
UACGGAGGGUGCGAGCGUUGUUCGGAAUUAUUGGGCGUAAAGCGCGUGUAGGCGGCUCCUUAAGUCUGAUGUGAAAGCCCCGGGCUCAACCUGGGAAGUGCAUUGGAAACUGGGGAACUUGAAUACGGGAGAGGGUAGUGGAAUUCCUGGUGUAGGAGUGAAAUCCGUAGAUAUCAGGAGGAACACCGGUGGCGAAGGCGGCUGCCUGGACCGAUAUUGACGCUGAGGAGCGAAAGCGUGGGGAGCAAACAGG